rnacentral:rRNA from 1 species
GACGAACGCUGGCGGCGUGCCUAAUACAUGCAAGUCGAACGCAGUGGGGACGGGUGAGUAACCCGUGGGUAACCUCCCAUCAGAGGGGAUAAGACUUCGAAACAGGCGCUAAACCCAUACUGAUGGAUGGACCCUGGGGGAAUUAGCUAGUGGGUGGGGUAACGGCUCACCAAGGCCACGAAGCAUAGCCGGUCUGAGAGGUUGAUCGGCCACACUGGAACUGAGACACGGUCCAGACUCCUACGGGAGGCAGCAGUGGGGAAUAUUCGGCAAUGGACGAAAGCCUGACAGAGCCAUGCCGCGUGAGUGAAGAAGGUUUUCGGGUUGUAAAACACUUUUGUUAGAGAAGCGGUAUCUAAACAGAAAGCAACGGCUAACUACGUGCCAGCAGCCGCGGUAAUAC